GCCAGGCACAAUGGCAGGUACCUGUAAUCCCAGCUACUUGGGAGGCUGAGGCGGGAGAAUUGCUUGAGCCCAGGAGGCAGAGGUUGCAGUGAGCCAAGAUUGCACCACUGCACUCCAGCCUGGGCAACAGAGCAAGACUCUGUCUCAU
rfam:Gorilla gorilla gorilla genomic chromosome, chr22, whole genome shotgun sequence